GUAUCCUUGUUAUGCAACUCUGGC
rnacentral:siRNA from 1 species